rnacentral:lncRNA from 1 species
CCCGGCCCAGCCUCCUGUACGCGGCUGUUGCCUAAACCGAAUGGCCUCGAAUCUAUAAAAGUGGACAAAUGGAGUCAGCUGGCAUGGCCCCUGUGGGCAACUCAACCCGCUGGGCCAGGAGGGCACAAUCCAACUCGCAUGGGCCCAGGACCCUACUCGGUGGACCUGGCCAGAGCCGGCAGGCAUCGGGCUCAUGCCUGGGGCAGCGCCGUGUUCUAAUCCUCCACUCCCCCAGGAGUCCCCCUGGUCUGUGAGAAGGGGAUGUGGGCGUUGGUGGCGAUGAGGCCAGGGAGCAUGGCUGUGCAUCAGCUCAACCGCUCAGCAGGAGAUGACUGCUGCCCACACGGAAAUGUGGUCACCCAGGUGCUGCUGCGUAUUGUCACCCACGGUUUAAGUCAUUCAGCGUGCAAAACAUGGCUGUCCCCAAAGAGGCUGAACUUACUGUCCUCCCUGUGCCAGCCCCCCACCAGAAAAAUAGCAGUUAUCACAAAUCCCCCUAACCUUUUGCAGACGGUCUUCAAAGAAAUGUCAGAGAAGAAAGUGUCCUUUGAUGAAAGAGUCUUAAGAUUCAUUUUUGUUUGUCUGGGGAGAGACCAUUCCAGCCAGAAGAAAGUGCC